rnacentral:rRNA from 1 species
CCCUUAGAUGUUCUGGGCCGCACGCGUGCUACACUGAACGGUUCAAUGGGUAAGGUAGUGCGAAAGCAUGACCUAAUCUCGAAAUCCGUUCGUGCUGGGGAUAGAAGCUUGCAAUUAUCCUUCUUGAACGAGGAAUACCUUGUAAGCGUGAGUCAUCAUCUCACGCUGAAUACGUCCCUGCCCUUUGUACACACCGCCCGUCGCUCCUACCGAUUGAGUGUUCCGGUGAGGCUUUGGGAGAAUGGCCUCAACAUGAGUUUAUCGUGUCUUGCCGUUUGAACUUAGUCAAACCUUAUCACUUAGAGGAAGGAGAAGUCGUAACA